UCGGAUAUGGUGCAAAGGAUAGCGCAGUCUCAUGGCAAUCUCCCAUGGUCCGGGAUGAGAGGGGCAGAUCGAGGUUCGAUUCCUCGUGUCCGUG